rnacentral:lncRNA from 1 species
UCACUUAUACUUGUGUAUCUCAACCAACUUCUACAACCACCUUCGUAUAACAUUCCUUCAAACAAUUGAAUAUCGUUGCAUUUAUUUUUUAUAAUAGCCUUAUACUCCAAUCUGGUGGUACCAGAACUACCAAUCGAGCCUUGACAGACAACCCCAACGACCAAGCCUUGGAAAACUGGAGGUAUAUGAAAUGAUAAUGAACUUCCUUUUCCUCGGUAGCUGAACCAAUUUGGAAUCAUAGUGAACUUAUCUCUGUGGCUGAACGUAUAACAACGAUUGAAGAGAAUUUGAUACCCAUAACCACCGUAGCAUAAUGCCUGUAUAUAUAUAUUGAUUCCAAGGAAUGCUGAAUAUUAGACAUUAAUUAAUGUAUAUCUAGUAUGAGCCAAUUGAGUGCUUAUUUGUGUUCAAGAGAGACAUAAAUAGUACCUCAACAAGAAUUUUCUUAUAAUUAUUUGAUGACUUGUAGUUGGGAACAGAGCGCAUAAUCCAGCCAUGAUUACUUAGACCUUUCAUGCCUUGAAUCUCUAUUAAAUCCGGACAAGUAUAUAGAACCAGAUUUAGAUAUUUUUUUGCCUGGAUUGGUAGUCUUACAGUUCGCAUUGAUUCGCAACCUUCUGUAUCCAAAUGUUCUAAAUUUGAGGGAAGCUCUGGGAUUGACACAAGAUUGCUGCAAUGCUUAACUCUCAAAAGCCGCAGCAUAAAAAGGAUGCCAAUGCCAGAAGGCAGACUGAAGAAAUUGUUUCCUGAUAGAUCCAAUUUUUCGAGAGAGGACAAACCUCCAAAAUCAACAGAAUUAGUUGCACGUUCAGACAAACCAUAAUUUACAAGUUUUAACUUUCCCAAUACUCUCCAAAUAGUGGAAGUUGGAGCUAGCAGAAAAGCUGAAAUCCAAGAAGAAUUUGGUGAAGGCCGAUAUGGUAAGUUCCAGUUGCAGUGUCCGCGCAAUGACAACUUCCUCACACACUUUAAAUGUCCAACUGAAGAGAAAAAUUGCUCGUUGUUAAUUCCAUCUGCUAGAAGCUCAGUGAAGGACUCAAUAUCACUCAUGCACUCUGGCAGCUCCUUAAGUUCUGAACACCCCGAAAUAUUCAAACACACAAGAGACUUUGAAUGUCCAAUAGAUUGAUGUACCUCAACUAAACUUGAGCAACCUUCAAGCAGUAGUUUCUCUAGACUUGAACUGUGCAGGUUUGGUGUUUUUAUAAGGUUCUUUGAAUAACUGAGAUCAAUGAUCUUUAGAGUGUUGAGAAUCUGUCAGAGUAGUGAGGAAAAUCAUUAAAAAGUAAUCAUCAAAAGUUCUCUAGACAAAUUUUGGGCAUUUUGGUAUGUUUCGCACCUUUUUUUCCUUCCAUAGUUCUCUGAUGUUACUAUACUUCAUAUCAAUAACAACUACAUAGUCCAGUGAAAAGUCGGAUGGAAAAAAUCUCAGAGGACAUUCAAGCCAACAAAUCCACGUCAACACUUUAGAAAGCCGUUCGAAAGAUCCGGUGAGAUCUACUCCAUUGAUUUGGAGUAAUUUUAAAAAUUUCAUUUUUGUAAAUGAUCCUGUGCUUAGUGAUUUGUCUUCUGAUCUUGUCACAUCCAGUGUAAGGCCCUUUACAGCUUCUGUUCCCUAAAAAAGCAAAAAAAAAAAAAAUCAAUAGAACUUUGAUAUGAUUGUUUGUAAUAAGUUUGACAAUAAAGAUACACAUGAAUGUGCUUUUCUGUAUGCAUUGAGUUCUUACCAUCUGCAUCUUGAGUACUUUCCACGCAUCCUCUUGACUCCAAAUUCUGCUCCUUUGUGCAGGAUUUUCAGGUGACUCUUCCUUAACGAUCUCCCUUCCCAUCCCUCGUAAUAGAUCAUGCAUGCUUAUCGUUCCAGAAUCAUCAACUUUAAUCAGAGACCUUUCAAUGAGAGUUCCCAAAUCAUCUUCUAGAUUGUAACCAUAACGUCCUUCUAGCACUUUGGCUACGUAUUCUUUCUCUCCACCAAUAAAGAAGCAUGCAAUAUCAAGAAAUGUAUUCUUUAGUGUAGGUUCAUCCAGUGUGUCAAAACUUAUUCUAAGUUUUUUCUGAAUUUCACGGUUUGGAAAUUUUCUCAAUCUGUCAAUUACAGAUUCCCAUCUAGCUUGGUUUUUCCCAAUCAAACAAGAACCUAAAACCUCAAGAGCUAAAGGAAGUCCUCCACAGUAUUCAACUACAUCAUUCGAAAGCUCAACAUAAUCUUUUGCUGGCUUGGUGUCCCUAAACGCAUGCUGACAGAAUAGCUGAAGGGAGUCACCCCGGUGCAAUUCUUGAACCUGGUAUCUUUGAUCAGCUUCAAGAAGUAAGCGUUCAUCUCUAGUUGUAAUUAUCACCCUGCUUCCGGGACCAAACCAGCUUCGCUCUCCCAUCAAAGCAUUUAAUUGGUCCAGAUGAUCCACAUCAUCAACAACAACAAGAACUCUUUUGCGGCAGAGGCGUUCUUUAAUCAGAACCUUUCCUCUAUCAACAUUAUUGAUCUUCUCAGUAUUUUGUCUUAAAAUAUCAUGAAGUAGUUGUUGUUGUAAAAGAACCAAAUCAUUAGGUUCUGAUUUUUCUUUGACAUUCAAAAGAAAAGAGAUUCCCUCGAAUCCAUAUCCAUAGCCAUAGCAGAGUUGAUUAAAUACAACUUUUGCUAUAGUCGUCUUUCCUAUUCCUGGCAUCCCAUGUAAGCCCACAAUGCGUACAUCAUCUGUUGCAGUACUUAGGAAGUGAAAAAUAUUGUGAGCAAGCGGAUCAAUACCUACUAGGUGCUUAGGAACAUGUAAGUACUUAGGGUCCAAUUUAGUCAGCACAUCCUUGAUAAUCUCUUGGACAAAUUUUGCUUCACGCCUGUUCAUGGACAAAAGCAAGUCAUUAGUCAUUAAUAGCGAGACAAUUAAGUAUGUUCAAAAAGUAUUUUAUUGUUUCACAUUGUAAAAUAGGUAAUGUAUAAUGACUCCAUAUAUAAAUGUGUGGAAGUGAAUCUUAUAGAGAAAAGGCAUACCCAUUUGCCAUAUCUUUGAGAUUCCAACCAGAUAGAUUUCCUGCCUCCUUAAGAGCUUCUCUCCACUCCUUCACCUUCUCUUUAGAACGUUCUUCAUGUUUAACAAAUGCUUCUGCAAAACUACCGGUCUGUUUUCUCACAUCUGAAGGAUCGAUGUCAUAGAAUAUAGGAAGAGCAAUUUGACCAGUUUUCCUAUAUUUACACUUCAGAAUCUCCACAAGUUCAUCAAGACACCAUCUAGAAGAAGCAUAUCCUUUUGAGAAGACCACUAUAGAUAUCUUUGAUUCUUGAAUUGCCUCGAGGAGAUGUUGGGAGAUUUCUUUUCCUCUAGGAAGUUCAUCAUCAUCUCGAAAAGUGUGGAUUCCUGCUUGGACUAAGGCAGUAUAUAGAUGAUCUGUAAAUGUCUUGCGAGUAUCUUCUCCUCUAAAACUCAAAAAGACAUCAUAGGCCCCUUGUGGUCGAGAUCGAGAAGAAUCUGACUCUGUCAUGGCAGCUGCAGAAAUUAAGGCGCGAUUAAUUAAUUAGCAAUGAAGUGAUACAUGUGAAGUGAUCAUCAAAGACAAUACAUAUACAUGAAUGUGCUCAGUAGGAAUUUCAACGCAAUUUCAACGGAAUUAACUCAAUAAACUCAUCACUGAUGUCUAUCUGAACAUAAAGCUUUGAAAUUAUUGUUAUCAGUAAAGAAAUGAAAUUAAAACAAGAAAGAAGCAAAGAAGAGGUAGAGCUAUACCUCUAUAUAACAAAGGGUUGGUUGGAUUCCACACAAGCUACGAAAUUGCAGCAAUCUGGGAGAGAGGUUAGCUGAUUAAUUAAUACUGCUUCCAGCUAGCUGCCUUUGUUUGGCGUCUCAGAACUGAAAUCCUAUUCCUGGGACGAUACUUUAUUUCAACUACCCAAACACGGUUAUCAAUUUUUGUUAUCAACUCCCAAGUCAGUCUCUCAAUUUACAUAUAGUUUGCAAGAAGCAAAGUAGAGUUACCAGCAAGAACAUGAGAAAUUAACAAGGGAAAUUCCUUUGUAAAUGUCAAGGAAUUGAACGUGAAAUAGUGAAUUGAACAAAAACGGUUAUUAAUUUCCAAGUCAGUCCAUGGAUUUACUUGUAGUUUCAAAGAAGCAGAGAAGAGUUACAAGCAAAAAACAUGGCAGCAUAAAAUCCCAUGUAUAACUACAUGCAAUCAGUAGCAACAAUCGCAAAGGUUACCUCAAUUCUAUGGUGUUUGAGUUGUUCGGAUUCCACGAACCUGGUGACUUUAAAGAUCAAAUUGCAGCAAUCAGAAAGGUUAGCUGAAGAGUAAAGAAACGAGGACUGAAGGCAAUAUUGUUUCGGGUAUCAUAUGUCGGAAUAGGAGCUUGGAAAUUUCUUUAGCAGCGUGUGAUCAAGGUAAUUUCCCGGUUGUUGCUGAUUGAUUAUAGUUGUUGCUUUAGCGCGCCUCUGACAUAGACUGGAGGACUAAAUUUCUUUAGCAGCGUGUGAUCAAGGUUUUUAUUUUUUAUAAAAAAAAUUUAAAUAAAUCUAGAUUAAUCCCAACUAAUCUAAAAUCUAGAGCUUUGGGAUCAACUCCCCGUCGAUUUAAAAAACUAUGGUUGCAAGUGCAUGAAGUUUUUGUUACAAGGAUAUGCUUCUCGAAAAAUAAAAGGAAAUUGUUGUUUUGUUUCUACCUUAGAAUAAAAUUAGUUUUUAAUUUAAUUUUACAUUAAUUAAAAUAAAUAUUAGUGAAAAAUUUUAAAUUUUAAAACAAAAACUCAUCAUGUUAUGCUAAGAAAGUCACAAAAAAAUAUUUGUUAAUUUUAAAUUGAUAAAAUAAAUAUUUUAUUUUCAUUGAAUAUUCAUGAGUAAUUUUUUUAAAAAAAAUCUUGAAUAUUAGGUUCAUAUAUAAUUAUUCAUAAAAUAAUAAUUAACAUUACUAAAAAAAUUAUAAUCUUAUUUAAAAAUUACAGCACAACCGAAUAAGUUUAUAAAUAUUAUUUUUAAAAUGAAUUUUAUGACAAAAAUGUCAAAAACCAAAACUUGAAAGACCAUAUUGAUUUUUUUAGUGGAAAAGAUUGUCGCAAUCCACAACAGUUAUGGCGAGGGCUACACGUCUAAGCAUCAAUCUAGCACCAUUGAUUACAAAACCGCGUUGUUGGGUGUGGCAGCAUCACAAUCAAAUGGCAUUAUUUUCCACACGGGAAACUAAAGAAGAGUCGAAGACCCUCGCCCUCACUCUCCAUCUCCAUUUAUUUGCCUGCUGAAUUCCAUCUCUCAGCCCUGCUUUUUUGUUUCCGGGUCUAGUCUUAUAUUUAAAAAAAAAACAUUUUUUUAUCUUUAACAUUAUUUAAAACUUGUUAUAUAUUAAUUUUAUUCAUAUAAAAUAUAUUUAUUAUUUUUUUUUAAAUAAAAUUAUUAUUUCUACCGUGUUUUUGAGAAACCCGACAAUAACAUCAUAAUCAAAAAGUAUAAAUUUCCACGGACAACUUGCAUAUUUGUUCAUGUUUGUUGAUUUGCUAAUUUGUGUUAAAGGGAGGGAAAGGGACUGGAUCUAUAUAAUCCACCUUUCAAUUCUUUGUGUUUGUUGCUACCCAAUUUUUGACCCAUGUUUUUGAUAUAUUUUAAAAAAAAUCAAGAAAUAGAGAAAAACAAAGAAAAUCCAAAAAAAUAUGUUUUUUAAUAUAUUUUCGUCAUUUUAGCAUUUUUAACGUCGUCUAAAAAGAAUUUAAUUUUUCAAACGCGUUCGACUUUUCACGCGUCAUUUUUAAAAUCAUUGAUUUUCCUCAUUGAGUCGACGUUGAUAUUGCUCGUUUUUAAAAAAUACAAAAAAACAAGAAAAAUCAAAUUUUACAAAAAAAGAAAGUUGACCAAUUUUUGAAAACUUGGCAAUAUUUUUUGCCUAUAAAUACUGGUCUUAAACUCACAUUAAAGGAGGGGUUUUCAUUUUUGCAAGGGGGCUAAUUUUGGAAACACCAGAAAAAUAAAAAAAUAAAAAAACCUAAACCUAUCUUCUCCCCCCACUUUUUUUCAAACAGCCGCCGGUCCCCCCCCUGGUCCAAGACCAUUAUUUUUCCAGCUGAAAAUCAGCAACUCAGCCCCACCCAUGGUCUGCUUUUCUUUGUUUCCAGCCGACCAGAGACGCUCCCCCUCACCAUCUGCCCACUCUCCCUGGCCCUAUGCAAAACGAAGACAGCCCCUUUGUAAUUAAUUUUCUUCUCUUUCCCCUCAUAAACCAGCCACACACUCUCCCUCGCCCUAUGCAAAAACGAAGGCACCCCCCCCGGUGGAUUUCAUUUUUUCUCCCGGGCAGCCACCAUCAGAAAAUCAAGGCAGCCGCCCCCACCCUUGACAUUUUUUGUUUUUCUUUCAACACCGGAACCAGCCCCCUUCCCCGGUUUGAAAUUUUUUACUCCCACAACCCCCUGAUUUUCAGCUCAAUCUCAGCCGGUCCCUUCCCCCCCCAAAGCCAUUUUUUUUUCUUUUCACAGCCAGCCCACAGACUCUCCCCAGCACGCCGGAGCCACCACCGUUGGACCUUCCACCUCUGCCUCUCCACCGCAGCUCACUUCCUUUCUUCUCCCACAGCCCAGUCUUCUCCCCUCCACCAACAGCGCCGAUCCUCCCUUUCAGCCACUGUGAACGGACAACCUUCUCCACUGCAUUCCACCGACCAGCGAACGGAGCCCACCACAGGAGCAGCCGAUCUCCUUCACCGCCGGCCAGCCAGCUUGCCAAGACUGAAUCAAAUCCUCCAGUAACAGACCCGACCACAGACCCGAUCUGCCACCGGAGAAGAAGACAAAACCAUAACAAACCGACUCACCGAAGAACCCAGCGGCGACACCCCACAACUCCACCGCUGCCUGAAACAGAGAAGGAGAAGCAAGAUCAGACAAGAAGAAGCAAAAAAAACCGAAGCAGAUUUGAAGGAGAAGAGAGGCAGAUCGGGAAAACAAAAGAAAUAAAAAAUUAUUAAUAAAAUCGACUGCCUGUUGCGUUUUGGUUUGUUUUUUGCAGGUAACACCGGCGAGGAAAGGAGGGGGAGAAGAGGCUAGCCAGAUCGCACUGUUUCCAGCUUCUUUCUCACGGCGGCGCGUGAACCCACGCGCCGCCAGUGGCGGUGGUGCGUGGAUCCAUGCGCCGGAACUGUUCACACAGCCCCCAGAAGUCCUUCCCUGCAAUUUCUGGAUUUUUAGGGACUAUUUUGUAAUUUUUAAAUUAAUUAAUGUAAUUUUUAUUUAUUUGUUUUGAUUUUGAAUUUGUAUUUGAAUUUGUAUUUGAAUUUGUAUUUGUAAAAGAAAAAAGAAAAGAAAAGAAAAAUAAAUGAUAAAAAAAAAGUUGUGUGUGUUUGUAUUUUUUAUUUAUGUUAUUGAAUUAUAAAAAUAAAAAAAAAAAGACAAAAAGAUUUAAUUGUUAAUUUAAAUAUGGUUAAAUAUCUCAAGGACAAAUAAAAUCAAGUUGUAUUUUCCAUGAAAAUGUGAGAACAAGUUUCUACAUAUAUUCGGGGAUUUAAUAACUGAUUUAUUCAAGCCUUAGAAUUUGAUUAAUAUUUUAAAGUUUCAAAUCACAUCAGAACACGAAGCAGCUUACCUAAGGUAGGGUGUGUUAGGGGUGCUAAUACCUUCCCUAACCACAACCAGUCCCUUACCCGCGAUCUCUGACAAGACCAGUACAUCAGGUUUCCUAGUAGCCCUCAAUGAAUUACUAGGUGGCGACUCCAAAGAACCAAAACGUAAAAACGAUAAAAAUCGCCAGCCGCGCUCGCGCUAUGUAUUUUUUUGGGGUGCGACAGUGUUCAUAUUUAUGUUGAUUCAUUCUUAGCGUUUUAAGGGAUUUUCGGCUGGUGACUAGUAUAGUACAUUCUAUUUGGUAAUGUGAUCCGGAGGCUUUCUUUUUCUUUUUCUUUUUCUUUUUUUCCUUUUUGUUAAAAGCAUCUUGACCAUUUUGAAUUUUAACAAGGCAGUGCAAGGGCUUCCAAAAGUGGAGGAAAAAUAAAAGGUAUUAUUAAAAAUUUCUAAUUCAAUUUAAUUUAGUGAUUUCCAAACAAGUAAUAGUUUUUGAAAUUGGUGCUUUUCUUCAACUAUUCUCCUGGAAUUUUUUUUUUUCAAUAACAUGACAUGAUUGUUUUGGCAAUUGUUUUUGCUAAAAACAUGAUUGUCUAGCCAUUUUGCACCCUAUUUUUCUAGCAAUGCAAAAGAGAAAAACAACAUGGAGAAAAAGCUAGCAGAAACAGUUGUAUAUUGGAAUUCUUGGUUUGUUAUUCUUUUUCUUUUUCUUUUGUAUUUGAUUUUUAUUUUUAUCAAGAUUAGGUUGCCGUGGUGCUACUGAAAUCCAUGGACGGCAAGUGUGAACUGAACUUGUUGGAGGAAAGAUGUUGGAUGCUGUGCUGCUCAACAUGAGGUUGCAUGCACGCAUUGCUCUGAGCCCGAGCAUAGAUAAAUCUACCAAACUCAACAUUAAUCUUUGAAUUAGAGAUAUCUUUCUGUGAUAAAAUUAGAGAUGUUUCAUGCUAUCAGUAUAUAUGUUCUAUUUGGUAAUGUGAUCCGGAGGCUUUCUUAUUUUCUUUUUUUUUUCCUUUUUGUUAAAAAAAUCUUGACCCUUUUGAAUUUUAACAUGGCAGUGCAAGGGCUCUCAAAAGUGUAGGAAAAGUAAAGGGUAUUAAAAUCACGAGUGAACUUGUAUAAUUUUACAAGUAAAUAUACAUAUUUAUUAUUUAAAAUUGAGUUAAAAUUAAAAAAAAAAUGAUUAAAUUGGUCUAAAAUCAUAUAAAAUCAGGUAAAAUCAUGAUUUACUAUUGAUUUUAAAAUAUUUUUAAAUUUUCAUUUCUUAUCUUCUUCCAUGCAUACUCUUAUGUUUACUUACUCAAAUAUGAGUCCACUAGCAAAUUUGGAUUAUUUGCUAACAACUCAUAAUUUCUUAGAGUUGUUCUGUAUAAUAUGCGUUUAGUUAUAUAACUUAAUUUUAAGUUGGACCUAUAAUAAUGAUUUUUUUUAAGAUGAUUUCUUAACUGCUUGUGUGGAAUUAAUUUUCCACUGUAAUUUAAUUUGAAUUUAAUUUAUAAAUAAAUUAAAUUUAAUAAACAGAAUUCAAUUCAUUUUAGUUUUUAUAUUACCCUCAUCAACUUCAUCUCAUUUCUUCAAAGUUAUGUAAAAAAAAAGAUAGGUAUUUUAAAAAAAUAAUUUUAACAUUAAAUGUUUUCUAUUUGGAAUUAUAAAUAAGAGGGAUUAAUAUCUAAUUUAUUUUGAUAUAAUUUUUAGAGAUUGAAUUCUAUGUAAAAUAUGUUAAAUAACACUAAAAAUAUUUUAAAUAUGAAAUAUUAUUAAAAAUUUCUAAUUUAAUUUAGUGAUUUCAAAACAUGCAUGAGUUUUUGAAAUUGGUGCUUUUCAACCGGAUGGGUUGGGAGAGGGAAAAAAGAAACUUCUGCCGUGAAGAAAGCCCAAUUUCAUUCGAAUCAUUUUUGCGUGCAAUGAUCCUUCCUUCAGGUUUUACGGGCUCUUCAUUUCUUUCUUUUACAACAUGAAAGUGAUAUCUAUUUUUGGUGUAUUUUUAGUACUUAAAAGAACAUGUUAAUUGGACCAAAAAGUUCACCUUUAAAAAAAAAAAUUAUUCUUGUUUGUUGAUUUGCUAAUUUAUGUAAGGGGAUAUUUUAAAGUAUAGUUGUGGUUGUUUUUUAAAGUAUUUUCACUAAAAAAAUAUUAAAAUAAUAAUUUUUUAAAAAAUAUUUUUUUGACAUCAACACAUCAAAAUGAUUUAAAAACAUAAAAAUAUUAUUAUUUUCAAGUAAAAAAAUAAAAAAUAUUCAAGUAUUUUCAACCAAUGUUGAUUCAUUCAUAGGUUAUAAGGGAUUUUGAGCUAGUGACUAGUAUAUUCUGUUUAGUAAUGUGAUAAGAGGCUUCUUUUUUUUUGUUUGUUAAAAAAUUCUUUUGACCCUUUUGAAUUUUAACAAGGCAGUGCAAGGGCUCUGAAAAGUGUAGGAAAAGUCAAAGGUAUUAAAAUCAUGAAUUAACUUGUAAAAUUAUAUGAUUUUAUAAGUAAAUAUAUAUUUAUCAUCUAAAAUUGAGUUAACUUAAAAAACUAAUAAAAUCAUACUAAAAUCAAGUAAAAUCAUGAUUUUACAAUCCAUUUUACAAUAAUUCCAAAUUUUUAAGUAUUAUCAUCCUCAAUGCAUACCCUUGUGUUUACUCAUUAAUGCAUGAGCCCACACGUGCUUGUAUCUGUGGAUUCUUUCUUUAAUCAAUAGUGUAGAGAUAAAGAAAACAUGGCCUUACUUUAACACUUUCUAACAAAUAAAAAAUUAUUUAUUACGGAACAAAACUUUGAAAAUUUUUAUUUCAUAAGGAUAUUUUUACGGACAAGAGUGACAAACAAUACUCUAAAGUCUGAUCUACCAUGUGUCUAUACUAAAAUACGAUAGUUUUUUAAACAAGUUUACAACAUUAUGAUUUAUCUAUAGAAAAUCCCAUAACUUGUCUAAGACAUAAUAACAAGAAACAAGACUUCAAAAUUAAAAAGAAGGUACAACUUUGAAUUGUUCGAUUUAUUAUUUAUUUUAGAUCAUACAGGGUCUAUAAUUCUUUAAUUCUAUAAUUCUUUAAUGAUUCUCUUAUUGAAGUUCAUAGUGUGUAACAAACAAUAUCAGUCUGUUGUUAUCUAAAAUAAAUACUACAUUUAUUUAAUUAGUGAUUUUACAGAACAGGAUAUAAUAUCAUAGCUAAGUGGGCAUAAAGUGGGGAGUUUUCUCAAACCAAUCCCUCGACUAAUUGAGAUAAUCAGGUGAGAAUUUUUGCCUGUCCGUGGUUUUCCAUAGGCUGGACGCCCGAAUCAAAAAAGCUUUCCACUGCUGCCUUGUAGAAAACCUCAUUGAACCAUGACGGGGAUGGUGAAGCAGAUGAUAUGGUGGCAAAGGUAUCGUUCUAUCGCUUUCAACUUCGGAGUACUCUUGGUUGUCUCAUGAUCCGACGAUCCUGACCCUUCAAAUGAAGUCUCGUAGUAGUCAAUGUCAUGAUCCCCUUCUGAACCUUCAAAAGACUCUUGGUUGUAAAUGUCAUGAUCCAAUGCUGGAGAUUGAUCGUAGUUGCUCCGUCCAAAUGGAUGUGUCUCUAUCACAUGGAUCCCACAUCGUACCACUUCACUGUUUUCGGACCUCAAUAUCACAUGUAGUUCCAAUCCAGCAUCUCCGAAGUAUUUUUCCAUUUCCAUCUCACGUCUACUUAUGACUCUUAGCCACCUACAACGGAAAUAGGGUAUUGCAUGUGUAGCUUCAAACAACUGAACACCGUUGCUUUUAUUUUUUAUAAUAGCAUUUAAUUCUCGAUGCCAAGUACCACCUGAACAGAGAGCCCAAAUGACCAAGCCUUCGAAAUCUGGAGGUAUAUCAAAUGAUAAUGAACAUCCUUCUCCACCGUAGCUGAACCAUUUUGGAAUGAUAGAAUUAUCGCAGGGAACCAAAAAAGCCUUGAAGGGAAUAAAAUACUCGAGAAAAUGAUAACUGAAGAUUCUCUGUAUAAAUAUUGAAUUCAAGGAACGCUGAGAUUUUAGACACCGAUUAAUAUAUAUAUCUGCGUGCACACCAAUUGUGUGCAAGAGGGACAGGACUAGUACCUGAAGAAGCCGAUCCUUGGUAUUUUUUGAUAAAUUACUCAGACCUUGCUUGCCGUCAAUGUCAAUGAAAUUGCACAGCGCAUAUUGAGACAGAUAUGGUGGUGCAGCUAUUACGACUCUAUCUCUUCCAACUUCAGACUCAUGAUCCAACUCUGACCCUUCAAAUGAAUCUGUCUUUUCAACUAUCACAUGGAUCCCACAUUCAAACACAUCAGUGUCUUCUCCCGUAUAAAGUCAGACGCACAGUUCCAAUUCCUCAUCUUCAUAAUAUUCUUUCAUUGCCAUCUCGCUUAGACUUAUGUAUCUCAACCAAUUUCUACCGACACAUUGAAUUACAGUUGCUUCAAACAAUUGAAUACCGUUGCUUUUAUUUUUUAUACACAAUUUGGCGGUACCAAAAAGACAUAUCAAGCAUUGACAGGCAACCCCAACGACCAAGCCUUGGAAAACUGGAGGUACAUGAAAUGAUAAUGAACUUCCUUUUCCACGGUAGCUGAACCAAUUUGGAAUCAGAGUGAACUUAUCUUUCUGGCUGAACGUAUUGAAGAGAAUUUGAUACCCGUAACCACCGUAGCACAGUGCCUG